CUAAGUUACUUAGAGCAUACGGUGGAUGCCUGGGCACAAGGAGCCGAUGAAGGACGUGGGAGUCUGCGAUAAGCCUCGGGGAGGUGACAACCGACCUGUGAUCCGGGGAUGUCCGAAUGGGGAAACCCGCCGCGACGUGAGUCGUGGUACCCGCCGCUGAAUGUAUAGGUGGUGUGGGGGGAACGAGGGGAAGUGAAACAUCUCAGUACCCUUAGGAAGAGAAAACAAUAGUGAUUGCGUGAGUAGUGGCGAGCGAAAGCGUAGGAGGCUAAACCAUGCUGGUGUGAGACUCGGUAGGGGUUGCUGGUGUGGGGUUGUGGGGUGCAUUUACACAAUAUCUACCGGUGUUGUGGCGUCGUGGUGUGUGGUAGGUGAAGCCUUGUGAGUGGGGCGCCAUAGUGGGUGUGAGUCCCGUAGCUGAAACUGCAUGGCCAGGCGUGGUGUUGCCCCGAGUAGGGCCGGGCUCGUGGAAUCCGGUGUGAAUCUGCCAGGACCACCUGGUAAGCCUAAAUACUUCCUUGUGACCGAUAGCGGACUAGUACCGUGAGGGAAAGGUGAAAAGUACCCCGGGAGGGGAGUGAAAGAGUACCUGAAACCGUGUGCUUACAAUCCGUCGGAGCCUUGAGGGGUGACGGCGUGCCUAUUGAAAAAUGAGCCUGCGAGUUAGUGGUCGGUGGCGAGGUUAACCUGUGUGGGGUAGCCGUAGCGAAAGCGAGUCUGAAUGGGGCGUUCAGUCGCCGGCUCUAGACCCGAAGCGAAGUGAUCUAUCCAUGGGCAGUGUGAAGCGCGGGUAAGACCGUGUGGAGGCGCGAACCCACUUCAGUUGAAAAUGGAGGGGAUGACCUGUGGAUAGGGGUGAAAGGCCAAUCAAACUUCGUGAUAGCUGGUUCUCCCCGAAAUGCAUUUAGGUGCAGCGUUGCGUGUUUCGUGCUGGAGGUAGAGCACUGGAUAGGCGAUGGGCCCCACCGGGUUACUGACCUUAGCCAAACUCCGAAUGCCGGUACGUGAGAGCGUAGCAGUGAGACUGUGGGGGAUAAGCUUCAUGGUCGAGAGGGAAACAGCCCAGAACAUCAGCUAAGGCCCCUAAGCGUGUGCUAAGUGGGAAAGGAUGUGGAGUUGCUGAGACAACCAGGAGGUUGGCUUAGAAGCAGCCACCCUUGAAAGAGUGCGUAAUAGCUCACUGGUCAAGUGAUUCUGCGCCGAUAAUGUAGCGGGGCUCAAGUACACCGCCGAAGCUGUGUCACUCCAUUUUGUGUGGGGUGGGUAGGGGAGCGUCGUGUGGCCGGUGAAGCUGCGGGGGAACCCAGUGGUGGAGGCUAUGCGAGUGAGAAUGCAGGCAUGAGUAGCGAAAGACGGGUGAGAAACCCGUCCUCCGAAUGAUCAAGGGUUCCGGGGCUAGGUUAAUCCGCCCCGGGUUAGUCGGGACCUAAGGCGAGGCCGACAGGCGUAGUCGAUGGAUAACGGGUUGAUAUUCCCGUACCGAUAGUGUGAGGACCCAUACCGAGGCGUGUGAUGCUAACCACCCGAGCUGCUGCUUCCUUCCCUUUGGGUUGGUUGUUGGUGGUGAGGCUGGGAACCGAGCGCGUAGUAGGUCAGCGUGUGGGAUGACGCAGUGAGGUAGCUUCCGCGGGGUAAUGGUUGUCCCCGUUCAAGCGAGCAGCCCGAGUGCGAGUAAUGUUGUGCUCUUGUGGGUGAGUCGUGAUGAGGACCCUUUAUUGGGGUAGGUGGGUGAUCCUGGACUGCCGAGAAAAGUUCCGGCGUGACGAGCACUAUUGCCCGUACCCUAAACCGACUCAGGUGAUCAGGUAGAGAAUACUAAGGAGUUCGAGAGAAUCGUGGUUAAGGAACUCGGCAAAAUGCCCCCGUAACUUCGGGAGAAGGGGGGCCUGAGGUGUGAGAGCACUGAUGGCCGCAGAGACCAGGGAGAAGCGACUGUUUACUAAAAACACAGGUCCGUGCGAAGACGUAAGUCGCUGUAUACGGACUGACGCCUGCCCGGUGCUGGAAGGUUAAGAGGACUGGUUAGCCCCUUGUGGGCGAAGCUGAGAAUUUAAGCCCCAGUAAACGGCGGUGGUAACUAUAACCAUCCUAAGGUAGCGAAAUUCCUUGUCGGGUAAGUUCCGACCUGCACGAAUGGCGUA
rnacentral:rRNA from 1 species